rnacentral:rRNA from 1 species
GACGAACGCUGGCGGCGUGCCUAAUACAUGCAAGUAGGACGCAGUUGCGAACGGGCGAGUAACGCGUAGGUAAAUGCCUAUGAGAGGGGGCUAACUACUGGAAACGAUAGCUAAUACCGCAUACUGGUCGAUGGACCUGCGUUGUAUUAGCUAGUAGAUAGGGUAAUGGGCUACCUAGGCGACGAUACAUAGCCGACCUGGGAAGGUGGUCGGGCAGACUGGGACUUGGACACGGGCCAAACUCCUACGGGAGGCAGGAGUAGGGGAGCUUCGGCAAUGGGGGGAACCCUGGCCGAUCAACGCCGCGUGAGUGAAGGAGGUUUUCGGGUCGUAAAGCUCUGUUGUUAAGGAAGCGGUACUUAACCAGGAAGAGACGGCUAACUACGUGCCAGCAGCCGCGGUAAUUC